GCAUGUGGUUUAAUUCGAUGCAACGCGAAGAACCUUACCUACUCUUGACAUCCGAGAACUUUCCAGAGAUGGAUUGGUGCCUUCGGACUCGACAGGUGCUGCAUGGCUGUCGUCAGCUCGUGUUGUGAAAUGUUGGGUUAAGUCCCGCAACGAGCGCAACCCUUAUCCUUGUUUGCCAGCGAGUAAUCGGGAACUCCAGGGAGACUGCCGGUGAUAAACCGGAGGAAGGUGGGGACGACGUCAAGUCAUCAUGGCCCUUACGAGUAGGGCUACACACGUGCUACAAUGGCGCAUACAGAGGGCAAAUCCCAAAAAGUGCGUCGUAGUCCGGAUUGGAGUCUGCAACUCGACUCCAUGAAGUCGGAAUCGCUAGUAAUCGUGGAUCAGAAUGCCACGGUGAAUACGUUCCCGGGCCUUGUACACACCGCCCGUCACACCAUGGGAGUGGGCUGCAAAAGAAGUAGGUAGUUUAACC
rnacentral:rRNA from 1 species